rnacentral:lncRNA from 1 species
CUCUCUCUCUCUCUCUCUCUCUCUCUCUCUCUCUCUCUCUCCUUCUGGUGGGAUUUGGUGAUGUCGACGACAGGGUGGUUGACUGGGUGAUGGGUGUCAGUGAAUGCUGUGUCACACCCCGGUCCCGGUGUCGGCGGGUUUUAAGCGCCGGACGUCAAUUCCGAGGCGUGAACGAGUGUUACAAAGCGGAAUAAAAUAAAAACACUAUCUUCUAGGCUCGUCGGCUACCCUUUCCUGGUUCGGUCAAAUCUAAGUACUUCUCUGCAAAAAAUAUUAGAGAUGGGUGGGUGAGCAUAACCACACGCUCAAUGAGUAGACCAAUGUAAUAUGCCCGCAAAGCCAUGUCAUUUUACACACGCUACAAAAUACUUAUAUCAUAUACACAUCACUUCACGCAAUUCAUCACAUCGCGCAAUUCCUUCUUAUUGGAUAUCCUUCAAUUUAGUGAUCCUCACGAGAACCUAAUGACAUUCAUGUCCUAUCCCUCCGUGUGUCACAUCCUUACUUUGGCAUAACCAAUCAAAAAGUACACAUGUUCCAUGACUAGUCAAACAAUGGAUCCAACACAUAAUUAUAUAUAAACCCCACAUAUUUCGCAAAUCGACAUGCUUCACUAUAAAAAUAGAGAGAUAUUUCGUAAAUAGACAAAAUCAUGCUUUUCGACUAUUUUGAUAACAAAUAAGAAUAUUUGAAACCUAUUACACAAAUUCACUCACCUCGAUAGCAUCGAACUCCCACCACUAGUACCGAUCGUAAACCAAGCCUCCUAAAAUGAGCCAUCUAGAAAUCACCGUUGGAUCUAGCUCAAACCUCUACGAUAGGAAGAGGACAUCGGGACGAACCCGUAGCUCUUCGCGGAUUCAAAAUCAAAGUUACAGAUCAAAAAUUAUGAUUCUCGAAAGUUUAGUCGUAAAAACCCUAGAAAGAGAAAACUUACAGAGACAUUUGAGGAGAGAGAGAGAGAGUAAAGAGCAGCCGCUAAUUAUACCUUUAUAUAGGAGAGUUAGCCGACUUGGAGAGUCGGUUUAUGAAGAAAAUAGCCAAUCAAAAAAUGGCAAGUUGAGCCACACUUGUCCAUUAACUACAAACCUUGUCUAAUUAAUAGACAAGUGCUCCCGUGACUACUACAACGCAGCUCUCUUCUUCACACAGCCAACCAAAACAAGUCAUGUGGCAUCUAUCCGCUAAUCAGAAAUUGCCACGUCAUCAGUCUAAGAAAAUUGACGAAACUUGAAAAAAAUCGUUAAAAUAGCUCGGAAGUCCGAAAAAUUCACUAAAAAAUACGACGAACUUGUGGCGACCUCUACUUUCUAUUUCUAAGAAGAAAAGAAUUUUUAAGAAAUUUUAAAAAUCGGGAUGUU